GUUGAAACACCGGUUCCAGUACGAUCAUGAAAGUUAAGCAACGUUGAGCAUGGCCAGUACCUAGAAGGGUAACCACUUGGGAAUAUCAGUUGCUGA